rnacentral:tRNA from 1 species
AAGUAGAAAGUAAUUUUACAGUUGGUUUCGGCCCUCCCUUAGGCCUUAAGGCCUCUACUUU